rnacentral:rRNA from 1 species
CAGGUAGGACUUACCCGCUGAACUUAAGCAUAUCAU